GUGAGGAAUAUUGGUCAAUGGGGGAGAGCCUGAACCAGCCAAGUCGCGUGAAGGAAGAAGGAUCUAUGGUUCGUAAACUUCUUUUGCAGGGGAAUAAAGUGCAGGACGUGUCCUGUUUUGUAUGUACCCUGAGAAUAAGGAUCGGCUAACUCCGUGCCAGCAGCCGCGGUAAUACGGAGGAUCCGAGCGUUAUCCGGAUUUAUUGGGUUUAAAGGGUGCGUAGGUGGUUUGAUAAGUCAGCGGUGAAAGUUUGCAGCUUAACUGUAAAAAUGCCGUUGAAACUGUCGGACUUGAGUGUAAAUGAGGUAGGCGGAAUGCGUGGUGUAGCGGUGAAAUGCAUAGAUAUCACGCAGAACUCCGAUUGCGAAGGCAGCUUACUAAGCUACAACUGACACUGAAGCACGAAAGCGUGGGGAUCAAACAGGAUUAGAAACCCCGGUAGUCC
rnacentral:rRNA from 1 species